CCUACGGGAGGCAGCAGUGGGGGAUAUUGGACAAUGGGGGAAACCCUGAUCCAGCGACGCCGCGUGAGUGAAGAAGUAUUUCGGUAUGUAAAGCUCUAUCAGCAGGGAAGAAAGAAAUGACGGUCCCUGAGUAAUAAGCCUCGGCUAACUACGUGCCAGCAGCCGCGGUAAUACGGAGGGGGCAAGCGUUCUCCGGAAUUACUGGGUGUAAAGGGAGCGUAGACGGUAAUGCAAGUCUGGAGUGAAAGGCGGGGGCCCAACCCCCGGACUGCUCUGGAAACUGGGUAACUGGAGUGCGGGAGAGGCAGGCGGAAUGCCUAGUGUAGCGGUGAAAUGCGUAGAUAUUAGGAGGAACACCAGUGGCGAAGGCGGCCUGCUGGACUGUAACUGACGUUGAGGCUCGAAAGCGUGGGGAGCAAACAGGAUUAGAUACCCGAGUAGUC
rnacentral:rRNA from 1 species